UACAGAGGCCUCAAGCGUUGUUCGGAUUCAUUGGGCGUAAAGGGUGCGCAGGCGGUUGGGUGUGUCAGAUGUGAAAUCCCGAGGCUUAACCUCGGAACUGCGUCUGAAACUACUCGACUAGAGUACUGGAGAGGGUAACGGAAUUCACGGUGUAGCAGUGAAAUGCGUAGAUAUCGUGAGGAACACCAGAGGCGAAGGCGGUUACCUGGACAGUUACUGACGCUCAGGCACGAAAGCAUGGGGAGCAAAAGGG
rnacentral:rRNA from 1 species